AUAUGAAAAUUUGAUAUAUGUCAUUUAGGUCUGAUAAUUUAGUCAUGCCAAAUAUUUUUUUAAAUUGAUAGUUGCAUUCUGAGCUGAGAUAUUUUCAAAAUUUUCGUGCAGGAUGCCAUCAACAGACGUGGAAAAUAAACCAACGUUUGAGCAUUUGAAAAAACGAUUGAACGAGAUCGAGAAUGAGGCUUCUAAUAUCCUGAAAUCCAUAAGAAGAAAGGAUCCCUCCAAAGAGGAUCCAAAGGAAACAGAGCUAUCGGAAGGAAUUGAGAUAAAAUGAAAUGAUUAUUUUUUUUAGAAUAGUUUAGUGCUUGACGUUUUGGAGUGAACAAGCACUGUCUGAAUUUUAUUUCAAACAAUAAAUUGAUGGAAAAUAUAUUAUGAAAGAGUAA